rnacentral:rRNA from 1 species
CGGGGUGCACCAGGCGCGAAAACUCUACAAUGCAGGCAACUGCGAUAGGGGAACAUCGAGUGAUCCUCAUAUUGGGGGUCUGUCCCACCGUCUAAAAAACGGUGGUUAGCAAGGGCCGGGCAAGACCGGUGCCAGCCGCCGCGGUAAUACCGGCGGCUCGAGUGGUGGCCGAUAUUAUUGAGUCUAAAGGGUCCGUAGCCGGCUUUGCAAGUCUCUCGGGAAAUCCAGCGGCUUAACCGUUGGUCGUCCGGGGGGUACUACAUUGCUUGGGACUGGGAGAGGUAGGAGGUACUCAGGGGGUAGGAGUGAAAUCCUGUAAUCCUCUGGGGACCACCGGUGGCGAAGGCGUCCCACCAGAACAGGUCCGACGGUGAGGGACGAAAGCUAGGGGCACGAACCGGAUUAGAUACCCGGGUAGUCCUAGCCGUAAACGAUGCUCGCUAGGUGUCACAACAGUCGUGAACUGUUGUGGUGCCGUAGGGAAGCCGUGAAGCGAGCCACUUGGGAAGUACGACCGCAAGGUUGAAACUUAAAGGAAUUGGCGGGGGAGCAC